AUGGCGCGCUCCUUCUCCACAUCCUUCGUGUUCGCCAUUUCGUCCAGGUACGAUGGCCCGACCGGCUAUGGGCUUGCGUUCGUGGUCGCCCUGACCUCGAACCUCUCAGCUGCCAACAGCGGGCCGUACCUUGGCCUCCUCAACGCGACCAACGGCACGGCAAGCGAUCACAUCUUGGCGGUCGAGCUCGACACCAUCAUGAACAUCGCGUUCCGUGACAUCAACAGCAAUCACGUCAGCAUCGACGUCAACAGCCUCAUCUCACCGCAGGCCAAGCCGGCCAGGUACUACAGCAAUGAGAACGGCGCCUUUCAACAGCUCAAUCUAAACAGCCGCCAACUGUUCCCAGGUGUGGGUAGACUAUGA
rnacentral:rRNA from 1 species